GUCAUUUUAAUCCAAUCUAAACAAAGUAGUUGGAUAUGUUAUCAUAUUUAACAUCUUUUUAUGUUGGUCUUAACACAAAAAAGUUGUUAGUCUAGUCUAAAUUCUCUAAUAUUUUCAAAUCCCUAUGGUCUAUUUAGUGGACCAUCAUAUGACUAAAUUGAAGGAUCAACCAAGUACGACAUUUUUUUUGUCAGUCGACAAAAUUAUACAAGUGUUCAAAUAUCCGAUCUUUUGUCAUGUGGCGCUCUCAACAGUUUUAAGGGGGAAACUAAACAUAAUGAAUUCUUAGCGGAGGGAAAACAAAAUUUAUUUUGGGUGUGUAUGUAUAUACAUAAAGAACCCUUAACAAAAACUCUCAUACACAAACCAAACAAAGACAAAAAAACAAAAAAACAAAAAAAAAAACAAAAAAAAAGGAAGCGAAUAUGAAUGGACAUCUCUUAAAGAACCCUUAACAAAAACUCUCAUAUACAUAAAGAACCCGUUAACAAAAACUCUCAUACACAGACCAAACAAAGACAAAAAAAAAAAAAAGGAAGCGAAUACGAAUGGACAUCUCUCAUUCAUCCGUUAAUAGUGAGGAUAUGCCUGACAUCGAUUUUGAAAACGAAGGUCAAAUACUUGCAUCGUUUGAAGUGUUCAUGAUCGACUCAUACAUCAAACAUGAUGAUCUGUAUAUUCCCAAAAAAAAAUUAUGAACAUUUUCCACCAAAUGCGCAUACUGCACUUCUCGACUUCCGUGAUGAAACUUGGGUUGCAACUUUGACUGUUGGUGCUCGAAGACAACUUAGGGAAGGUUGGAGUUCUUUUGUUCAAAGUAAUAAUAUCAGGGGCAGGAUGUAUCCUCAAGAUUUCCUUGGUGGGUACCAACACAACCAUUGUUGUCUUCGAAAUUGAAGUGAAAGGAGAAGGAACAACUAAUAAUCCUUUUGAGAUAGACAAGGGCUUGUCUUGAUAUUGAUGUUUUUAUGUAUUUUGGUGAAACUUUUAUCGUAAUCAAAUGUUGAUCUUCAGACUUUA